GGGUGUGUAGCUCAGUGGUAGAGUGGCUGACUGCAUAUCUGCAGGUCCGCGGUUCAAAUCCGGGCGCGCUCU
rnacentral:tRNA from 1 species